CCUACGGGUGGCAGCAGUGGGGAAUAUUGGACAAUGGGCGAAAGCCUGAUCCAGCCAUGCCGCGUGUGUGAAGAAGGCCUUCGGGUUGUAAAGCACUUUCAGUGGGGAAGAAAGCCUUGGGGCUAAUACCCUCGAGGAAGGACAUCACCCACAGAAGAAGCACCGGCUAACUCCGUGCCAGCAGCCGCGGUAAUACGGAGGGUGCGAGCGUUAAUCGGAAUUACUGGGCGUAAAGCGCGCGUAGGCGGUCUGAUAAGCCGGUUGUGAAAGCCCCGGGCUCAACCUGGGAACGGCAUCCGGAACUGUCAGGCUAGAGUGCAGGAGAGGAAGGUAGAAUUCCCGGUGUAGCGGUGAAAUGCGUAGAGAUCGGGAGGAAUACCAGUGGCGAAGGCGGUCUUCUGGACUGACACUGGCGCUGAGGUGCGAAAGCGUGGGUAGCAAACAGGAUUAGAUACCCGGGUAGUC
rnacentral:rRNA from 1 species